rnacentral:rRNA from 1 species
AACGGCCGUACCAUGCUGAAUAUAUCGGUUCUCGUUAGAUCACCGAAGUUAAGCAUCAUUGGGCGCGGUCAGUACUUGGGUGGGUGACCACCUGGGAACACAC